rnacentral:sRNA from 1 species
CCGGAGGAAAGCUCAGGGCCCAGGUCGGCGCAGGGAGCACGGAACCAAAGAGCGCUAGCGCCGGUUCGGCCGCCUUUCCACAAAGCCCGGGCCGAAAGGCCCCGCCGCGGAGACUCAGCGCGGAUCGCUGCUCCCUCUCGCCAUGGCGCGGGUGCUGAUCGUGGGCGCCGGGAUGACAGGAAGCUUGUGCGCUGCGCUGCUGAGGAGGCAGACGUCCGGUCCCUUGUACCUUGCUGUGUGGGACAAGGCUGAGGACUCAGGGGGAAGAAUGACUACAGCCUGCAGUCCUCAUAAUCCUCAGUGCACAGCUGACUUGGGUGCUCAGUACAUCACCUGCACUCCUCAUUAUGCCAAAAAACACCAACGUUUUUAUGAUGAACUGUUAGCCUAUGGCGUUUUGAGGCCUCUAAGCUCGCCUAUUGAAGGAAUGGUGAUGAAAGAAGGAGACUGUAACUUUGUGGCACCUCAAGGAAUUUCUUCAAUUAUUAAGCAUUACUUGAAAGAAUCAGUAAUUAGUGAAUGCCAAAGGCAGCAACUGGAGGCUGUGAGCUACUCCUCUCGAUAUGCUCUGGGCCUCUUUUAUGAAGCUGGCACGAAGAUUGAUGUCCCUUGGGCUGGGCAGUACAUCACCAGUAAUCCCUGCAUACGCUUCGUCUCCAUUGAUAAUAAGAAGCGCAAUAUAGAGUCAUCAGAAAUUGGGCCUUCCCUCGUGAUUCACACCACUGUCCCAUUUGGAGUUACAUACUUGGAACACAGCAUUGAGGAUGUGCAAGAGUUAAUCUUCCAGCAGCUGGAAAACAUUUUGCCAGGUU